rnacentral:lncRNA from 1 species
CAGAGGCCAAAGCAGGAAGUGGAAGCUGGAAUCACGUGGGUGUAACUAGCAGGAUCUUGAGCUACAGAAAAGAGGAUAUCAAGGAGAACAGUAAAUAGCAUUCAAGGACUUAACCUCCUCUUCUAGAUUGGUGGCGGUGAAGAGAUCCAAAGCAAACUUCCUAUGAUAUUUGGGGACAAUGAGAAACACAGGUGUAGUGCUCAUGAACCCUUUGAGUUUGCUGUCGUUCUUGCCAUUUCCAAAGGCUGUUGCUGCUGUGUGACAGAUCUGCUCUCCCUCUCCAUAUAGCACAAACCUGUGGUGAAGAGGAAGCCUAGAAUAUGGAAAGAUCAUGGCACUGGAGUUCUGGUUUGAGAAUGUCCCAGAUGUCGGAUCCAGGGAAAGUUUUUUACCUUCUCAACCCCUAAUCCUUCUUCUGUAAG